GACGAACGCUGGCGGCGUGCUUAACACAUGCAAGUCGAACGAUGAAGCCCAGCUUGCUGGGUGGAAGAGUGGCGAACGGGUGAGUAACACGUGAGUAACCUGCCCUGAACUCUGGGAUAAGCACUGGAAACGGUGUCUAAUACUGGAUACGACCUAUCACCGCAUGGUGUGUGGGUGGAAAGAUUUAUCGGUUCUGGAUGGACUCGCGGCCUAUCAGCUAGAUGGUGAGGUAAUGGCUCACCAUGGCGACGACGGGUAGCCGGCCUGAGAGGGUGACCGGCCACACUGGGACUGAGACACGGCCCAGACUCCUACGGGAGGCAGCAGUGGGGAAUAUUGCACAAUGGGCACAAGCCUGAUGCAGCAACGCCGCGUGAGGGAUGACGGCCUUCGGGUUGUAAACCUCUUUUAGUAGGGAAGAAGCGAAAGUGACGGUACCUGCAGAAAAAGCACCGGCUAACUACGUG
rnacentral:rRNA from 1 species